rnacentral:rRNA from 1 species
CGUACACUCCUGCGGGAGGCAGCAGUGGGGAAUAUUGGACAAUGGGCGCAAGCCUGAUCCAGCCAUGCCGCGUGAGUGAUGAAGGCCCUAGGGUUGUAAAGCUCUUUUGUGCGGGAAGAUAAUGACGGUACCGCAAGAAUAAGCCCCGGCUAACUUCGUGCCAGCAGCCGCGGUAAUACGAAGGGGGCUAGCGUUGCUCGGAAUCACUGGGCGUAAAGGGUGCGUAGGCGGGUCUUUAAGUCAGGGGUGAAAUCCUGGAGCUCAACUCCAGAACUGCCUUUGAUACUGAAGAUCUUGAGUUCGGGAGAGGUGAGUGGAACUGCGAGUGUAGAGGUGAAAUUCGUAGAUAUUCGCAAGAACACCAGUGGCGAAGGCGGCUCACUGGCCCGAUACUGACGCUGAGGCACGAAAGCGUGGGGAGCAAACAGGAUUAGAUACCCCGGUAGUCCC